UGAUGACCCCCUCAUCUCUGUUAGCAUUGCCCAGAGCUUGGCACGGCUAGGCCAUGACCUGAAGGACCCCAAUUACCUCACCUCACACAUCAUCUGCCACAUCCUUUGUGGAGGACAACAAUUGGCCUGAAGGAGAAUCCUGCUUUCUGAGAAGGUCGCCCCCUGUGGCCACCAAAGCCAGCGUCUGCCACUUGACUGGGGGGUCCAACGAGCUCAACCUCAUGUUCAGGAGGAUCUGGGGGCAGUGAACUCCAGGUGACCUCAAGCAUGCGGAGGGCAUCAUCAAAGGCGAACUCACGCUUGAGCUCGAGCAGCAGCCAGCGGUAACAGAAGAAGAGAUCAUCAGCACCAGCUUCUUGCAGGUACUGGUAGAAUUCAGGGUCAGCAUGUCGCAGCAGCAGCUUGAGGUGGGUGAACUUGGUGGCCAUGGCACGGCCGUCAGGAUGGAAGUUUGCAGCCAGGCGCUUCAUGAUGCCACAAAAACAAACAAAAGCAUGGCCCUCGUGGUCCAUGACGGCGAGAAUGGGUGAGGCAAGGUCGCUCAUGCCCUGGCAGUAGGAUACCUGGGGGUGGGUGACGGCAUAGGUGGUAAGCAGGUCGUGCAGCGCCCGCAGGUGUGGGCCAUCCUCAGGCCCCGCGUAGUAGGGAUGGGCCCGGUCGGUACGCAGCACAUCCUUGAGGACUGUGCUGCGGAUGAAUUCCAGAUCCUCAGGGCUUGCCCGCUGUGCCCACUCGCUCUUGAGCUGCUCAUACUCGCGGCUCUUGCGUUUCAUGUAGUCCAUCCGCUCGCGGCCUGUCAGCCCAUCUGGGUAUACAUUCAGGAGGUACCGCCACACCACCUGGCCAGGGAUGAAAGGGAUGAGGCUAAGGUUCUACAGAUGAGCCACCAUACUCCAGUGGAUAUUCAUCACCACCCACCCACCAACCAUGGGCCUCUGUGCUCCUGAAAAGUCUCCCUGUCUACCUCUGACUCCCCACCCUCUCCUGGAGGAGAGCUGCCUACCCUGGAGCACCCCCAUCCCACCCCCCAGCAAUGUGGUAGACUGUGUGUGUGUGUCUUAGGAGCUUUUAAUAACUAAGUACAGAGUGAAUGAGGGGGAGGGAUGGAUCCAAUGAGCAACUGAGGAGACUCACCUUUCGCAGGGAGGGCUCAACACCACCAUGAUAGAUCCGCAGGCGCAAUUCCUCAGGGCGAGAGAGCUGACCCUCAUGGUUCAGAUACAUGUGAAACUCAGCAUCGCUCAGGGGUGGCUUGAAAGGCUUGACAUCUUCCCCAUAUGACCAGCUUAGCACCUGUUGGACCUUAGAUAAGGUGCGGCCCACCUGUGAAGGAAGAAGGGCGGGAGGCCGCUGGUGAGCUGGGUAGGCUAGGAGCAAAUGCCCACCAGCAUGCUAGAAUCCAGGGUACUGGGGAUUCCUGAGGUCUGCCACGUAGGCCCUGCCCUCCAACCACAGCUGGGCCCCAGGGGUCCCUGAAACCACCUGAGAGAGGAUGGACUGUGUGAAGGGUAGGGCAGCUGUUGUCAGCGAUGACCGUUUCUCAACCAGCAGCACGUCGGAGCCAAUGACAUCCUUGGGACUGAUUAUGUCCCAGUCUUCCAGCAGUGGGCCUGGGCAUACAAAAUGAAGUGAUAUGGGAGAUGAGAACCCCAGACCUCAAAGCCAGGUUCCUCUCCUUCUACCAAAACCAGGCCACCUACAGGGCAAUGAAUGACUCCCAUGCCCUCUUCCCAUGUCACCCAAAACAUGUAAAAAGUAAAACCAUUAGUGAUUCUUUUCUGGUAACCAUUUCACAAAAUGGCUGGGCAGCUUCGAAAAUGUAAUAUUGUAAUUAUAUAAAGUAAUCUUUAUUGAGCAUUUACUAUGUGUCAGGCACUGUGCUAAGUGCUUAACCUUAACAUAAGAAAUAAUAAUCGCUAACCCUUCCAUAGUACUAAGUGCCAGAAACUAUUCUGAGCCCUUUGCAAAUAUUAACUCAUUUAAUAUUCAUAUCAAUCUUAUGAAGUAGGCACUGUUAUUAUCACUACUCUUUAUACGAGGAAGCAGGCACAGUUAGGUUAAGGUACUUAUCCAAGGCCUCACAGAUACAGAGUGAAAUAACCUAAAUUUGAACUCCGGGUUGUCUGGCUUAAGAGCUCAAACUCUUAAUCUUAUAUUCAUGACAGACCACUUCCAUAAAGGGUAUACACUACCAUUAUCAUUCCCAUUUUACAGAUGAUGCUAAAAAGGUUUGGCACAAUUAUUAAAUAGCCAAAGGCCCUAUAGCUAGGAAAUGCUGGCAUCUGAACCUCGCUUACCUUACUCUAGAGAAAGUAUUUGUGGAACUGGUAUGACAUAUACAUUAUGCAAAGGACACAAUGCUAUUCUUGACUUUAUCCAGUCUGGCCCUUGAAACAUCAGUGUAAGUCUGUUCCUUCUCUCUCAUCUUACUCCCCCUCACAUUCUUUCCUCCUGCCUCAAAUGUGAUGUGGCAGCUGAAGCAGCAGUGGCUACUUUGUGACCAUGAAGGAAAGCUCAAGAAAAUCUUAAGAAAUGUCGGCCUUGAUGCCACUGAACUGCUAAAGCCAACACCGGCAAUACCCAGUGGCCAACUUUCAAACUCCAUUAUAUAUAAAUAUAUAUAAAAAAAACCUUUAUUUGUUUAAGACACUGUCAUUUAUAGGCAAAUGUCACCCCUAACUAGCAUUCCCAAGAAGUCCACUGCACUCUCUCCCACAGAGCUGAGGGGAACAAACCCUAGGCCACACUAGGGCACGGCAAAACCUAACGUGUCCAGAAGAGGGGCCUAAGAUUCACCCUCAGACAUGACCCCUUUCUCUGCAACUCAGCUGACUGAAAAGCAUCUCUAUCUGUUCAGCUGCUUAAGCCAGAAAACUGAGAGACAUCCUUGAUGCCCCCCACUCCCUCAACUCCCAGGUCCAAACCAUCACUAAACCUUGUGGCUUCUGCAUGCAAAAAAUACUUCAAUUUCACUUCUCUCAUCUCCACCUUGUCACCCUGUCUGAGCCACCAUCAUCUCUUACCUGAAAAACUGCCUCCUAACCAGUCCCUGCUUCCUCUCUGUCUCUCUCAAUCUCUCCCAACAGCUACCACCAGGGUAGUCUUUCUACAACAUUAAUCAAAUCAUUAAAAUAUUUAACAGGUAAAAUGAGGAAGGUCAUACUACUGAAAAUCAAACUAAUGGUGUAUAAGACCAAAUAGAAGAACUACUUCAAAGAACACAGCUAAAGCUUGAUGAUGUGAAUGGAAAAGGAGAGAGAGCUAGAAGAUAAAUUCAGGAGACCUAAUUUGUAAACACUAGGAAAUGCAGUGGGAGAAAAGGGAUCAGAUGGGUAUGUUAUAUAAUUAAACAAGUAAUAGAGGAAAAUUUCCCUGAAAUGAAGAAAUGCCUCACCAAGUCUUCCAGCACACCACCAACUGCUGCCGAGUCAACCCUGACUCAUGGCAACCCAUAUUAGAGUAGAACUGUGCUCCAUACAGGUUUCAGCGGCUGAUGUUUUAAAAGCAGAUUACCAGGUCUUUCUUCCAAGGAGCCUCUGGGUGGACUUGAACUUCCAACCUUUCAGUUAGCAGCAGAGUUAACCGUUUGCAAGUCUUAGAUAGGAUUAAUUAAAAAACAAACCCAUAUAACAACCUCCUCCACCCCAUUCAUAUGCUGGUGAAAUGCUGGAAUUCUAAGAAGGAAGAAAAACUCUUGCCAGCUCCCAGAGAUAAAGAACAGCCCACUUAAAUGGAAAGAAGGUCUGACUGAUGAUGGACUUCUGUUCCACAACUCUGAAAGCAAGAAGUGGCUCACAGCACCUAUGAAGCACUAAGAAAAAGGCUUGAGAUCCAAGAGUCCCACAUUCAGCCAAGACGGUAUGUAUCUAUCAAAGCCAAAGAAAGACCUUUUUGGCCAUGCAGGGUUUCAGAGCCAAAACCCAUGCACACUAUUGGAAGAAAACACUCAAAACAGUUCUUUGAGCAAAUGACUACAAAAGAGAGGGUAAAAGGUAGUGGACCACAAGUUUUUAAUAUAUAAAAGGACAAAGGGCAAACGACAAAAGAUACUGUGACUUGGAGUUUGCAAUAUAAAGUGUUACGUUAGAAUUGCUGAAAUAUAAACGACUUGCUAUAUAAUGGAAAAUGAUAGCCUGGAAUUUGAAAAGAAAACAAAUUAAAGCUGUCUAAAUAGGGUUAAAUAAGGUCAGGGAUCAGAGGAAGAAUAAAAAUUAGAAGUAUUUCAAAGCUUUCAUUUCAGAGGCCAGGGAAGGGUGAGAGAGGCUGGAAGAGAAAAAGUAGUCUAAAGGUUUCACCGUCAAUUGUGUAAAAAGGCAUAAAUUCUGCUAUAGGGUUUUUGUGAGAUACACACCUAAAACUAGGUGACAAAGAAAGGUUGAAAACUAAAAGUAAAAGGCAGACACACACACAAACAGAAAGCAAGAGCAUUUGUGAAUGUCAGAAAAAGCACCACACAAGGCCAAAAGCAUUGAACAGGAAAAGAGAGACAAUAUGUACUGAUGAAAAAAAAAAAAAGAA